GCUGGGCAUAGUGGUGCAUGCCUGUAAUCCCAGGGCUAUGGAGGCUGAGGCAGGAGGAUUGCAAGUUCAAAGCCAGCCUCAGUAACUUAGCGAGGCCCUAAGCAACUCAGUGAGAUCCUGUCUCUA
rnacentral:sRNA from 1 species